UGAGCUUGAUUCCUGGCUCAGGACGAACGCUGGCGGCGUGCCUAAUACAUGCAAGUCGAGCGCAGGAAGCCGGCGGAUCCCUUCGGGGUGAAGCMGGUGGAAUGAGCGGCGGACGGGUGAGUAACACGUGGGCAACCUACCUUGUAGACUGGGAUAACUCCGGGAAACCGGGGCUAAUACCGGAUGAUCAUUUGGAUCGCAUGAUCCGAAUGUAAAAGUGGGGAUUUAUCCUCACACUGCAAGAUGGGCCCGCGGCGCAUUAGCUAGUUGGUAAGGUAAUGGCUUACCAAGGCGACGAUGCGUAGCCGACCUGAGAGGGUGAUCGGCCACACUGGAACUGAGACACGGUCCAGACUCCUACGGGAGGCAGCAGUAGGGAAUCAUCCGCAAUGGGCGAAAGCCUGACGGUGCAACGCCGCGUGAACGAUGAAGGUUUUCGGAUCGUAAAGUUCUGUUAUGAGGGAAGAACAAGUGCCGUUCGAAUAGGUCGGCACCUUGACGGUACCUCACGAGAAG
rnacentral:rRNA from 1 species